rnacentral:rRNA from 1 species
AGGAAAAGAAACCAACAGGGAUUGCCUUAGUAACGGCGAGUGAAGCGGCAAAAGCUCAAAUUUGAAAGCUAGCACCUUCGGUGUUCGCGUUGUAAUUUGAAGAUAGUUUCCUUGAGUAGUCCUUUAUCUAUGUUCCUUGGAACAGGACGUCAUAGAGGGUGAGAACCCCGUAUGAUUUUGGAUACUACUCUUUGUGGGAUUCUAUCGAAGAGUCGAGUUGUUUGGGAAUGCAGCUCUAAGUGGGUGGUAAAUUCCAUCUAAAGCUAAAUAUUGGCGAGAGACCGAUAGCGAACAAGUACAGUGAUGGAAAGAUGAAAAGAACUCUGAAGAGAGAGUGAAAAAGUACGUGAAAUUGCUGAAAGGGAAGGGCUUGAGGUCAGACUUGGUGUUUAAUGAUUAUCAGUUCUUCUUGGACUGUGCACUCGUUUUUCACCGGGCCAAUAUCAGUUUUAGCGGUAGAGUACCCCUUGAAAUGUGGCUUCCUUCGGGGAGUGUUAUAGUCUUGGGGAGAUCUACUUGCUGGGACUGAGGACUGCGCUUCGGCAAGGAUAUUGUCGUAAUGACCUUAAGCCG